rnacentral:lncRNA from 1 species
AAUAACUUGGGUAGGACUCCAUCCACUCUCCAAGUUCCAGGAUACUUUGCUCUUCUGAGAAUUCUUGGAAUUAAUGUUGUACUUUAGUUAAGGAACAUGAUGUUCAUUGAUAGAAAUCCUGUCAGGUUACUUUAGUUUGAGCUUUCAGCCCCUUUUUAAAUAUCUUUUAAUCCCUAUGUAAGAAAAUCAUUACAGGAGAAUUUUUCUAAGCUUUUUUGACUAGCUGGAAGUUAGGCUCACUCAUAGCUUGAAACUGGGAAUUUUCUCCAUACUUUAAGUCUGUGUUUUGUUUUUUUUUUAAGAAAAGUUGAGAGUUUUGAUUACCUAUCCCAUAACUGAAAACAUAUUGAGGCUUCACAAACAAUAACAAAAAAAGGCAUGUCCCAGGAUGUUCUUAAGUUCUUCAAAGAUAAUUUGAUUCCUCAAAACAUUUUUACAGCUACUUUCAAAAAUAUUUUCCUUGUAAGAUUUCUCAAUUCAAAGCUUUUUUUAAUAGUCACCCUAUUGACAUGAAUAUUUGGCCCUUAGCAACUGUAAGUUAGACAUUUAUAGUUGGCUUAGUUUGUGUUGGGAUUGAGAUUCUAAUUUUUUUUCUAAUUAAGUGUGUAUUUUAGUUUCUUAGAAGAAAUCUUUGCAUUUUGCUUGCAUUUUAUUUUAGUAUGGUUGGUUAUUCUUUAAAAGGCUUAUGCCUGCAAUAUUCAGAAGACCAUAAUUAAUGCACUAAGAAAAAUAUUGUGUCCAUCCCUCUCCAACAUAAAGCUUACUAAUAGAAUGAGAACGCAUUUUUUAAAUUUGCAGAAGCAUUAACUUUUCAAGAGUACAAAAAUAAAGCAGAGUCAUUUUCUCUAGCAUAAAUAAUUUAGGAAAGCUUAUUUUGCAUAAUAUAUAAACAGAUAUAAUUCUAAAAUAACUACAAAUGGAGUCAUGUAAUUUCUUGAAAGUUAUCUUGAAAAGAAGCAAAUCUGAAGAGUGAUGGACAACUUCCAAAUGUCCCAAAUCUUAAUGAAAUCCAAAUUAAGACUCAAUAAUAAUUUCCUUCAUCUUAGUAUGUUUACUAUAAAUAGCUCUAACAUCAACUUUGAUUAUUUAUUUGCCAUUCUUCAUUUUACUCUAGUGUCCAAUAUCGUUCUCUCUAGCCAUCUGAUUUUCUUCUAAUUUGAUAUUUCUUCCUAUGUUUUAAGGCAUUUACUGGAACCAUUCUAUCUUUGUUUUCCUAGCUCAGGUUUAGAUUUAUUCUCCUUUUCCCUCUUACAUUAUCUGGUACUGCUUCAAAUUCCCCUAUCCAUUUUUUUGUCAUUUUACUGUGAAGAACAAUAUCAACAAGUCAUUGGAUUUUCCUAAGGUUGUAUAAUAUGUGGCUUUGCUCUAAAGUGAUUGUAGUAAAUAGAACUUAAUGUCUUCUUUCAAAGUGGUGCUGAUACUGGGAGGGAACAGCAGAGUACACACAUGAGUGUGUUUUAAAGAAAAAAAAGAAUGAGAAGUUGUGCUCCAUUUAUGUACAAUGUGUCAAAAUGCACUCUACUGUCAUAUAUAAUUAAUAGAACAAGUAAAAAGAAAAACAGAAAAAAAUAAAAGAAAAACAGGCACAUUCUACUGUCGUGUAUAAGUCGCAAAACCUCAGACUUGGAUAUAGUUCAUUGGUAGUUCCUGUAUUCAACAUGAACAAAGCCCAGCUUCAAUCAAUAAAACAAAAGUAAAGAUGCAAAACCAAACUUCUAUGUCUUUCAGCCUCUGCUGAUCCACAUUUCAACAUAGUACGAUUUCUCAUCUUCUCACCCCCACCAAUCCACAUCAUUACUAACUACAAAUAUACUGAAGGAGACAAUGCCUUUUAAUGAGUUCUCUGCUCUGUUACUAUGAGGAUGCUUGUAAAGCUGCCUGGAAAUCUUUUCUCUUUCCCCUUGUUUGCUUGGCUAAAUCCCACUCCUCUUCAGAUUGAGGUUAGGAGUCACUUCAUUCAAGAGCUUAUUCCAAGGGGAAAGGCAGCGGAGCACAACAGACACUAGUAUGGCAAUUUGUAAAUCAAUGGAUGUGUAACUGAUGUGAAUCUGCAAUCUGUGUAUGGGGUGAAGGUGG